AGAGUUUGAUUAUGGCUCAGGAUGAACGCUGGCGGCGUGCUUAACACAUGCAAGUCGAACGAAGCAACUUAUCACGAUCCCUUCGGGGUGACGAUUUGUUGACUGAGUGGCGGACGGGUGAGUAACGCGUGGGUAACCUGCCUUGUACAGGGGGACAACAGUUGGAAACGACUGCUAAUACCGCAUAAGCGCACAGCUUCGCAUGAAGUAGUGUGAAAAGAUUUUUCGGUACAAGAUGGACCCGCGUCUGAUUAGCUAGUUGGUGAGGUAACGGCCCACCAAGGCGACGAUCAGUAGCCGACCUGAGAGGGUGACCGGCCACAUUGGGACUGAGACACGGCCCAAACUCCUACGGGAGGCAGCAGUGGGGAAUAUUGCACAAUGGGCGAAAGCCUGAUGCAAGCGACGCCGCGUGAGCGAAGAAGUAUUUCGGUAUGUAAAGCUCUAUCAGCAGGGAAGAUAAUGACGGUACCUGACUAAGAAGCACCGGCUAAAUACGUGCCAGCCGCCGC
rnacentral:rRNA from 1 species